rnacentral:rRNA from 1 species
AUUGAACGCUGGCGGCAUGCCUUACACAUGCAAGUCAAACGGCAGCACGGGAGCAAUCCUGGUGGCGAGUGGCGAACGGGUGAGUAAUAUAUCGGAACGUGCCCAGUCGUGGGGGAUAACGCAGCGAAAGCUGUGCUAAUACCGCAUACGAUCUAUGGAUGAAAGCGGGGGAUCGCAAGACCUCGCGCGAUUGGAGCGGCCGAUAUCAGAUUAGGUAGUUGGUGAGGUAAAGGCUCACCAAGCCGACGAUCUGUAGCUGGUCUGAGAGGACGACCAGCCACACUGGAACUGAGACACGGUCCAG